CGAUCCUCUGCAGUUUAGGAGUAUUAACCAAGAGAAUUACCGUAGCGACCCCUCCUCGUUUCUCGGAAACAUGUUGAUGUUGUUUGUGACAGUCUUCGGGCUUUCAUGGGGUUUCUCCUCUGGUAACUUGCUUUCAGCAACAGCUUGCUAUGGCAAGAGUGUUGAGCUUCCAUCUUAUCCCUUCACAACUAUUAAAGGUCCAUUGUAUUUUAUCCCAAGCGAUCGUAGCCUCGGAAGGAUGGUGAUGGAUGAAGGAAAGCCCAAGGACCCACGCAUCACAUAUCUCCGUUCCAGGUUUCACCUUACAAAUUUAACUAAAGAAGAUGAUGGGUAUUUUUCCACCAGACAAGAUGGAUUGGGGUUUUCCAGGCUGUUCAGAUUGGAAAUAUCAGAUUGUGCUGAAAAGUUUUACCGGGGUUAUAUGGAUACGCUGGUGUAUAACAUCCCUUCAGUAGCUCAUUUCAUGGAGUUCACUCCACAGCUAGCCAGUCGGCACAAGCCAAUGAUCCUGUGGAAUCGCACGGCCUUUCAGAGCCAUGAUGAAAGAAGAGGAACAGUCAAGAGUAAUACCUGGAAGAUCUCCCAACUCACUCAGGCAGACAACGGCUACUACAUCUUUAGGCAAAAUGACAGCAAGCUGGAGUCAAUAGUACAUCUCACAGUAAAAGAAAAAACCCUUGAUUAUGAACGGAACACAGGGCAAACUCUAUUUAUCCCGUAUCCUACAUCUGGUGGACCAUGGACGGUCGUAUUUAAGCCUGAGAUGACAAAUAUACCUGAGAAAAUGCUUAAAGAUGGCCAACUGGUCUGGACAAAUAACCGGUUCUCUGGGAGAAUUAAAGCUCAGGAUGAUGGUUUGGAAAUAGAUUUUUUGGAAAGCAAAGAUUCUGGCUCCUUUGAAUUCAGAGACCUAAAAGGUAACUUGGCCUUGAUUGUCGAGGUGGAAGUCAACCAAAGUGAAAGCCCCAAUCAUGCAGUAGUUGCAUAUGCCGCUAUGAGUGUCGGGGCUCUCCUAGCAGGGAUUUGCUGUUGCUGCUGUUGUAAAAAAUGUUGCUGUAAAAAAGGUUCUGCGCCUCAGACAGAAGCAGCACCUGCUGUGACUUAUCAUGACAAGACACCCAGGACUGCGACUUCACCUCCUGUGUAUUAUCAUAAUGUAAAUCCACAAACAGGCCCAGUCUGUCCAGCUGCAACAAAUCCUUCAGUUUUCCCUCAUCAGCCACCAUACCAGCCUGUAACCAUCUACCCUACUCAGCCUGGCAUCAGCGUGUACCCACCUCCGUCGGGACUGAACCCACCUCAGCCUGGCAUCAGCGUGAACCCACCUCCGUCUGGACUGAACCCACCUCAGCCUGGCAUCAGCGUGUAUCCACCUCAGCCUAGCAUCAGCUUGCACCCACCUCCGUCUGGACUGAACCCACCUCAGCCUGGCAUCAGCGUGUAUCCACCUCAGCCUGGCAUCGACAUUCACCCCCAUCAGCCUGGUACCAAUGUGAACCCUUUACAACCUGAGGUUUCUCUUCCAACAGAUCAGGGAUCUGCAGCGGUUCCUACGUUCAACUUGGAGUUUCUCUCCUCAGAUCCUGAUACCAGAUUUGAGCUGAAAGGACCAAAUGUUCCCUCUGCUCCUCCUCUCAGUUCUGAAACUCCGUCUAGUUAUGUUUACAAUUCAGAUAAACUCAACUUUCUUUAA
ensembl:lncRNA